rnacentral:rRNA from 1 species
AUAACUAUAAAUAAUAUCUGCUCAAUGCUUUUAAAUAGCCGCAGAAUUUUAACUGUGCUAAGGUAGCAUAAUCAUUUACCUUUUAAUUAAAGGUUUGUAUGAACGAUUUAACACUUAAAUUACUUUUUUAUUUGUACAACAUUUAACUUAAAUUAAGAAUAAAAAUGUUCUUAUUUGUAAAAAAGACGACAAGACCCUAUUGAACUUGACUAAAGUUAAGCUGGGGAAGCUAAUUAAAUAUUAUUUUAAUUUACAUUUUCAAAUAAAUUUCUAAUAUAAUUAAAUAGAAUAAGUUACCAUAGGGAUAACAGCGUAAUAAUUUUCAAAAGUUCUUAUUGAAAAAAAUGUUUACGACCUCGAUGUUGAAUUAAAAUUACUUUAAAACGCAAUAGAAUAAAAGUAGGUCUGU